rnacentral:snRNA from 1 species
AUGUGUUUCUAGCAGGGAGAGGCCAUGAUUCUGACGGUGGUUUUCUAGGGUGAGGCUUAUCCACCUCACUGCAGGUGCGUGAAUCUCUACAAUUCCUCCAAACAUGGGUAACUACGUACUUUGUGCUAGUGGACACUGUGUUUCACUACCCCCAC